rnacentral:rRNA from 1 species
AUUGAACGCUGGCGGCAGGCCUAACACAUGCAAGUCGAGCGGAUGAAGGGAGCUUGCUCCUGGAUUCAGCGGCGGACGGGUGAGUAAUGCCUAGGAAUCUGCCUGGUAGUGGGGGAUAACGUCCGGAAACGGGCGCUAAUACCGCAUACGUCCUGAGGGAGAAAGUGGGGGAUCUUCGGACCUCACGCUAUCAGAUGAGCCUAGGUCGGAUUAGCUAGUUGGUGGGGUAAAGGCCUACCAAGGCGACGAUCCGUAACUGGUCUGAGAGGAUGAUCAGUCACACUGGAACUGAGACACGGUCCAGACUCCUACGGGAGGCAGCAGUGGGGAAUAUUGGACAAUGGGCGAAAGCCUGAUCCAGCCAUGCCGCGUGUGUGAAGAAGGUCUUCGGAUUGUAAAGCACUUUAAGUUGGGAAGAAGGGCAGUAAGUUAAUACCUUGCUGUUUAGACGUUACCAACAGAAUAAGCACCGGCUAACUUCGUG